CCUACGGGAGGCAGCAGUGGGGAAUCUUAGACAAUGGGCGCAAGCCUGAUCUAGCCAUGCCGCGUGAGUGACGAAGGCCUUAGGGUCGUAAAGCUCUUUCGCCAGGGAUGAUAAUGACAGUACCUGGUAAAGAAACCCCGGCUAACUCCGUGCCAGCAGCCGCGGUAAUACGGAGGGGGUUAGCGUUGUUCGGAAUUACUGGGCGUAAAGCGCGCGUAGGCGGAUUGGAAAGUUGGGGGUGAAAUCCCAGGGCUCAACCCUGGAACUGCCUCCAAAACUAUCAGUCUAGAGUUCGAGAGAGGUGAGUGGAAUUCCGAGUGUAGAGGUGAAAUUCGUAGAUAUUCGGAGGAACACCAGUGGCGAAGGCGGCUCACUGGCUCGAUACUGACGCUGAGGUGCGAAAGUGUGGGGAGCAAACAGGAUUAGAUACCCUAGUAGUCCACACCGUAAACGAUGAAUGCCAGACGUCAGGGGGUUUUACCCUUUGGUGUCACACCUAACGGAUUAAGCAUUCCGCCUGGGGAGUACGGUCGCAAGAUUAAAACUCAAAGGAAUUGACGG
rnacentral:rRNA from 1 species